GGUAAUUGAUAUCGUAACAUAUAGCACUAGCUAUGCCUAUAUGUGCGAGCCAGUGCUCAUGCUACGAUAUCGAUUAUCAUC
rnacentral:pre_miRNA from 1 species